ensembl:lncRNA
UGGUAAACUUUUUAUUUGCAAAUGACAGUGAGUCUUACAGUAACAAAUGAGAGAGAGAAAGGAGGAGGGAGGGAAAUUGAGAGAGAGAAGUUAAGAGAGAGAGACAGAGAAAAUAUCUAUUAGCUCCUAAUUCAGUAGAGUUAAAAUCCAGGAACAGAACAGCUUCAGGCAUAGCUGGAUCCAGGGGCCAAUAAGGUGCCUUAUCUUUGUGUCUCUUGAACAGGUUCUUUUCCUGAGGUAGGCAUGUUUAGCCAUUGGUAGGUCAAGGGCUACCUUUUAUUUGCAGCAACCCACUAGAGAAAAGAUGACCUUUCCAAUACUCCUGGCUCGAAGAACCCCAGCUAAAGUCCGGCUUGCCCAGCGAGUCUCGCAUUCCUCUCUGUGCCCGACGCUGUGGCCGUGAGGAUGGUGUGGUCUAAUUGAUCAGGCAGGCCUGGGUGGCCUGUCCUCAAACAGUGUAUAACUCAAAUAGGGUGCCUCUUUAUAAUUUUGUUUCCUCAUUUCUAAGAAGAGUGAGAAGAAUAUCCUUCUGGCUUAUUUCUUACGCUGUCAUGUAGGCAAUUAUUUGAUGACUCCUUUCCAUAAUGUGCUUGAUUGCCUGGGACAGCUGUGUGCUGCAUUCUAAUGGAAGACGGAUGCAGGUGCCUGCUGUGUUAACAAGAUGUUGGCUGGUCAGAGGCUCAGACGGGUUGUCCCUCCAUGGGGUUCCUGGAGGAAGGACUCUGGUUGAUUUAUGUAGGACUUUCUGCUUUCUGGACCCCUUUAGUUUCUACUAUUGUACCCAGAGGGUUUCCCAGGUGGCACUAGUGGUAAAGAAUCCGCCUGCCAAUGCAGGAGACACAAGGGACUCGGGUUCGAUCCCUGCAUCAGGAAGAUCCCCUGGAGGAGGGCAUGACAGCCCACUCCAGUAUUCUUGCCUGGGAAAUCCCAGAGACAGAGGAGGUUGGUGGGCUACAGUCCAUGGGGUUGCAGAGUUGGAUGUGACUGUGUGACUCAGCACAGUAUUGUACCCAGAACCGCAAGGAGAAAACCAGGUUGAAAUGAAAAGCUUAGGAUUUAUUCUAGAAAAAUCCCAACACCUCAAAGGCUCAUGCAUUCAAAUGGAAUGUGGACAAUAAUUUGCAUUAUUUGACCUGUAUUCAGCAUCAUGCUAUGCUGAUGAAUGCUUUGUCCUGUAUGAAAGGCUUCUUUUUUCCUUUUCAGAAACCAGGGGUGGAUCACCAGGGUCCCCUCCCUCAGCAGGAAAGCCCCAGAGAACUGGAAUGAGUCAUCAGUUCCUUGGGGCGAUGCUAGGGGCUCAGUGAUUCGGUGUUAAUUGAAAUUCCCCUUUUUGUGAGAUUUUCCUUGAAGACAUUGAAACAAGUGAUUGAGGUAUGGAAAUGAAUCACAUGAUAACCCCUGAAAGCCUUGCAAUGUCCCAAACAGGUUUUCUCACUUGGAGAGGCCCACAUGCUGUCUGUGGUGGAGAAGCUGAGGUGUCACCUGAGCCACCGGGCCAAGGUCCCAUGUUCCCUGGAGUCCACCUGGAGCCCUGAGUCCUCCUCAGGCACGCUGGCACACUUCAGGGUGUAAACCAGGACAUGGAAACAACCUAGAUGUCCAUCAGCAGAUGAAUGGAUGAGAAAGCUGUGGUGCAUAUACACAAUGGAGUAUUACUCAGCCGUUAAAAAGAAUACAUUUGAAUCAGUUCUGAUGAGAUGGAUGAAACUGGAGCCGAUUAUACAGAGUGAAGUAAGCCAGAAAGAAAAACACCAGUACAGUAUACUAACACAUAUAUAUGGAAUUUAGAAAGAUGGCAAUGAUGACCCUGUAUGCGAGACAGCAAAAAAGACGCAGAUGUGUAUAGCGGACUUUUGGACUCUGUGGGAGAGGGAGAGGGUGGGAUGAUUUGGGAGAAUGGCAUUGAAACAUGUAUACUAUCAUGUAAGAAUCAGAAUCGUCAGUCUAUGUCCAAUGCAGGAUACAGUAUGCUUG